UCGUGUGAGUAAACUGAUCCGUACAGGCUCGGUGUAAUGCAUUGUGGGGGAGGAGAGAGAGAAGAUACUCCAUCCCUCUUUUUAUUGGGCGCUGCCACUGAAAAGAAGAGGGUGGAGUUCUCAGUUGUUUUUCUCUGGCUUCAACGAUAGUUUGCCGAGUCUCUCCCCGUCUUGUGUGUAAACUGAUCCGUACAGGCUCGGUGUAUUUUCGUGGGAGAGAGAGAGAGAGAGAGAGAGAGAGAGGGGGAGGAGUGGGAGAAGAUACUCCAUCCCUCUUUUUCUUGGCCGCUUUACCGCGGGCGUUACAGUUCAACGUGCAGUUUCUUGCCAAUUCAUCAGGGCGGACUUAAUCCAACAGUGUGUUCGUCUUUGAAUAUGAAACACAUUUGAAUUCAGUCUGUAUUUACGUUUUUUGGGCGUGAAGAAAAAUCUCUUGUCGUGGAGAAAGUGUCAAACUUCCAUACCGUGUCAUAUUUCCCGGGAUUUAGAGCGUCGUUGCUCGCUCGCUCCCUUCGGCUUCUCACAAUGUUUUCUCUCCCGGGGAAGAUCUGAACUUUUUACGGACGGUGACAACGUAGACAAUAGGACUUCGUUUGGGUUUUGGUUGUACAAAGAGAGGAGACGAACCGAUUAGGACUGCGAGUUCGUGUUCAACUACAAAUUCCUGAGAACCGACGAGGGCAACAGAACCGACGAGGGCAACAGAACCGGAGGGCAACAGAACCGACGAGGGCAACAGAACCGACGAGGGCAACAGAACCGACGAGGGCAACAGAACCGACGAGGGCAACAGAACCGACGGGGCAACAGAACCGACGAGGGCAACAGAACCGACGAGGGCAACAGAACCGACGAGGGCAACAGAACCGACGAGGGCACAACUAUGGGGCAAACAGACGGGUUGGAUUAGAUUGUUGACCACAUGUUAACUAUAUUUCAGCUCCAGUGUUUAUUGAAAACAAAAACAUUUGGUAAAUGAACACUUGUUGUCUGUCAUAUACAUUGUUAAAGUUGUUGGUUAGCUAGGUUGACAUGAAAUCAGCACCACAAAACCACAAAACAAUACAUGGUAUCAAGAACAAGAUGAAAUAAGUCACUUAGGAUUCCCCACAUGGCAUCUUCUAGUCAUUCUGGCUAUCUGGUCAUCCAGAAUCCCAACGACACGCUGACCUCUGCCCCAUGGAAGCGUGACCUCUGCCCCAUGGAAGCGUGACCUCUGCCCCAUGGAAGCGUGACCUCUGCCCCAUGGAAGCGUGACCUCUGACGUUGUCAGAUGACCCGUCUAUUGAUCGUUUUGUAUUUAAUUUAUUGCUUUUCUCUCCCAUCGUUCACUUUUCAUUAUAGUCACUUGCCACAAUUUAAUAAUAUAUUCAUCAUAUUACAAGACAUUCACUUUCUAUUCAUAGUAGAUUUACAUACAAGACCCUGGUACUUACCUACGGAGCAGCAAGAUGACCUGACCCUCCCUACCUUCAGGCUAUGUUCAAACCCUACAUCCCAACCAGAGUACUCUGGUCUCUUGGCUCUCCUACCCCUACGGGAGGGCAGCUCCAGCUCAGUCCAGUCCAACCUCUUCUCUGUCCUGGCACCCCAAUGUUGGAACCAGCUUCCCCCUGAAGCUAGGACAGCAGAGUCCCUGUCCGUCUUCUGAAAACAUCUGAAACCCUACCGCUUCAAAUAGUAUUUUAAGAAAUCCCACAGCACCCCUUUCAUUAAUUUACACUUGACUUUUUCCCUGCUUACAAACUCUGACUCUACUGAGCUACAUUAUUGAGGGAAAAUGUACUUUCUCUAACUGUGAUAUGUGGUUGUCUCACCUCGCUAUUUUAAGAUGAAUUAACUAACUUGAUCUGGGUAAUGGCAACUGCUAAAUGACUCAAAUGUGAAGUGGGACACCUGGUGAAGUGGGACACCCGGUGAAGUGGGACACCCGGUGAAGUGGGACACCCGGUGAAGUGGGACACCCGGUGAAGUGGGACACCCGGUGAAGUGGGACACCCGGUGAAGUGGGACACCCGGUGAAGUGGGACACCCGGUGAAGUGGGACACCCGGUGAAGUGGGACACCCGGUGAAGUGGGACACCCGGUGAAGUGGGACACCCGGUGAAGUGGGACACCCGGUGAAGUGGGACACCCGGUGAAGUGGGACACCCGGUGAAGUGGGACACCCGGUGAAGUGGGACACCCGGUGAAGUGGGACAGUUAAGGACGGGUGGUUCUUACAGGGAGGUUCAGGUGAACAGUAGUGGUCUGAAAGGUAAAGGUUUACAGAGGGAUUGUUUAGUGCCGCUUGUACGUCCUGUGUGUGUAAUGAAGCAUUAGCUUUUAGUCCAUUAGUGACUGGCAGUGUGUGUCACCUGUACUUGGGCUUCAGUAGCUAGAGUCCAAAGGUUGUUUCCUGUGGAAACACGGGGCCGUGUCUGCAUGCAUGUGUUUGUACUUGGGCUUCAGUAGCUAGAGUCCAAAGGUUGUUUACUGUGGAAACACGGGGCUGUGUCUGCAUGCAUGUGUUUGUACUUGGGCUUCAGUAGCUAGAGUCCAAAGGUUGUUUACUGUGGAAACACGGGGCUGUGUCUGCAUGCAUGUGUUUGUACUUGACUCAUCAGACCACUGAACAUGUUCAUUCCAGUCUGUUUGCUCACCAAGUCAACCUGGGAAGGUCCGUAGUUACCCCACCUGACGGUUUCACUUUCCAUUUCCUAUAAAGUCCUGUACUUACUGUCAGUCCUCCUGGGUAACACCAGAUGCAUCAUGGUUUAUUACUGUCAGUCCUCCUGGGUGACAGCAGAUUCUUUAUUACUGUCAGUCCUCCUGGGUGACAGCAGAUUCUUUAUUACUGUCAGUCCUCCUGGGUGACAGCAGAUGCAUCAUGUUAUUGUUACUAAUUUUUCAUUCUUCUUAUUUUAAACUCUGCAUUGUUGGGAAGGGCUCAUCAGCAGUCAUUUCACAGAAAAGUCUACACCAGUUGUAUACGGCACAGGUGCUGAAUACGAUUGGAUUUACAGUCUGGUGAAUCAUUUAGUUCUUCAGUUCUCCACCUGUAGGCUUUGGAAUAUCCCUACCUGAACAUUUCAGUUUCCAUUGUCUGUCCUACAUUUACUGUCAGUCCUGGACAUUCCUAAAUUCCAGGACACAGUCUGAGCUCUGCCAUGGAUGACUAAAUUGAUGGUGACUCAUUGACUUGUUUCAGUGUGUGGAGGGUUACUGUAAAUGUUACCCUUGUCCUUACAUGUUCAUAUGUUUUGGGCUCCUGAGUGGUCUAGGGCACUGCACCUCAGUGCUAGAGGCAUCCCUACAUCCCUACAGACCCUGGUUUGAUUCCAGGCUGUAUCACAACCGGCCGUGUUUGAGAGUCCCGUAGGGUUAAUUAGGCUGUCACUGUAAAUAAGAAUUUGUUCUUAACUGACUUGCAUAGUUAAAUAAAGGUUAAAUAAAUA